rnacentral:rRNA from 1 species
GUGCCAGCCGCCGCGGUAAUACGUAGGGGGCAAGCGUUGUCCGGAAUCAUUGGGCGUAAAGCGCGUGUAGGCGGUUCGAUAAGUCUGCUGUGAAAGUCCAGGGCUCAACCCUGGAAAGCCGGUGGAUACUGUCGGACUAGAGUGCGGAAGAGGCGAGUGGAAUUCCCGGUGUAGCGGUGAAAUGCGCAGAUAUCGGGAGGAACACCAAUUGCGAAGGCAGCUCGCUGGGACGUUACUGACGCUGAGACGCGAAAGCGUGGGGAGCAAACAGGAUUAGAAACCCUCGUAGUCC